rnacentral:rRNA from 1 species
AACGAACGCUGGCGGCAGGCCUAACACAUGCAAGUCGAACGCCGUAGCAAUACGGAGUGGCAGACGGGUGAGUAACGCGUGGGAACCUACCUUACGGUCGGGAAUAGCUCAGGGGAAACUUGGGGUAAUACCGGAUACGCCCUUACGGGGAAAGAUUUAUCGCCGUUAGAUGGGCCCGCGUAGGAUUAGCUAGUUGGUGAGGUAAUGGCUCACCAAGGCGACGAUCCUUAGCUGGUCUGAGAGGAUGAUCAGCCACACUGGGACUGAGACACGGCCCAGACUCCUACGGGAGGCAGCAGUGGGAAUAUUGGACAAUGGGCGCAAGCCUGAUCCAGCCAUGCCGCGUGAGUGACGAAGGCCUUAGGGUUGUAAAGCUCUUUUGGCGGGGGAAGAUAAUGACGGUACCCGCAGAAUAAGCUCCGGCUAACUUCGUGCCAGCAGCCGC